rnacentral:rRNA from 1 species
CNGGAGGGCAAGUCUGGUGCCAGCAGCCGCGGUAAUUCCAGCUCCAAUAGCGUAUAUUAAAGUUGUUGCAGUUAAAAAGCUCGUAGUUGAAUUUCGGGGUUAGUAGAUUGGUCAUGCCUCUGGUAUGCACUGGUCUCACUGAUUCCUCCUUCCUGAUGAGCCGUAAUGCCAUUAAUUUGGUGUUGCGGGGAAUUUGGACUGUUACUUUGAAAAAAUUAGAGUGUUUAAAGCAAGCUAACGCUUGAAUACAUUAGCAUGGAAUAAUGAAAUAGGACGUUCGAUCCUAUUUUGUUGGUUUCUAGGAUUGACGUAAUGAUUAAUAGGGAUAGUUGGGGGCAUUAGUAUUCAAUUGUCAGAGGUGAAAUUCUUGGAUUUAUUGAAGACUAACUACUGCGAAAGCAUUUGCCAAGGAUGUUUUCAUUAAUCAAGAACGAAAGUUAGGGGAUCGAAGACGAUCAGAUACCGUCGUAGUCUUAACCAUAAACUAUGCCGACUAGGGAUCGGAUGAUGU